rnacentral:rRNA from 1 species
GACGAACGCUGGCGGCGUGCUUAACACAUGCAAGUCGAACAGAAAGGCCCUGCUUUUGUGGGGUGCUCGAGUGGCGAACGGGUGAGUAACACGUGAGUAACCUGCCCUUGACUUUGGGAUAACUUCAGGAAACUGGGGCUAAUACCGGAUAGGAGCUCCUGCUGCAUGGUGGGGGUUGGAAAGUUUCGGCGGUUGGGGAUGGACUCGCGGCUUAUCAGCUUGUUGGUGGGGUAGUGGCUUACCAAGGCUUUGACGGGUAGCCGGCCUGAGAGGGUGACCGGCCACUUGGGGAAUGAAAUACGGCCCGGACUCCCAGGGGGGGGAGGAGUGGGGAAUUUUGCACAAUGGGGGGAAGCCGAACGCAGAAACGCCGGGGGGGGGAAGACGGCUUUCGGGUUGUAAACCGCUUUCGCCUGUGGCGAAGGGGGGGUGGCGGUAAUGGGGAAAAAAGCACCGGAUAAAUACGU